rnacentral:lncRNA from 1 species
UUUCCCCAAACAUUGUUGCUACAUUUCCUUCUCCCAGAUUUGUUGUCAUCAUCUACAUAACAACAAUAAAAAUAAUAACUGCACUUUCCACCCUCCCUUUUCCUCCCUCUCCUCUCGGCUCUGGCCUUACAUUCAUUUCACAGUACAGAGAAGCAAGCAGCAUCAGCAGCAGCGCAGAGCCUUGGAAAUAAAAGAGGGGAGUAGGAAAAACAACCAAACCUCCCCCCUCUCAAACAUUUCCAUGGCUGCUGCUCCAAUCAUGCUCCCUAUUACCGUCUGCAUUCUCUCCCUCGUUUCAGCUGCUGUUGCAGAAGCCGGAACCCAGUUCUUGAAUCUCACUCUGCCUCACCAGCAUCCUUAUCCCGAUGAUAUUGCUCACGAUGUGCUAAGGUAACCCAAUCCCCCCCUGGAAUUUGUGUGCUUUGCAUUCAGUUUGAAGAAUGUAAGUAGGAAUUAGAGGUUUUAGAUUGUAUUCAACAAAUAUAUAUCUUUUUGUGAAUGAUUUUUCAGUAUCAUCAGUCCAAUUACUAUUCCGAUCUUGGUUAUGUUCAGCUGCCCCUCUCCCUUCACAUGGGUUGCUCUCAUUUUCAGCAGUAAAUUCACACCAUAGAAAGAAACUAAGAAAAAAGCAGCUUUUAAUUGCAAUUUCCCAACAGUGAAACAGUGCAUUUCAUCCUUGGCAGCUGUUUCCAACUACAUUUUGUUCUACUUGCAUUUCGUUUUAAUCAAUUAUUGGGGGUAACUUUGCAGGCAGGUGAAUGAGUCGUUAUCAAGAAGGCUGCUUUCGUCCACUCAAGAUAAGGACCUCUGCCGGACCGGCAACCCAAUCGACGACUGCUGGCGUUGCGACCCCAACUGGACACAGAACCGCCAACGACUCGCUGACUGCGGAAUCGGGUUCGGCCGCGGCGCACUCGGCGGGAGAGGUGGCCAGAUCUACGUCGUCACCGACUCCUCCGACCACGACCCGGCUAACCCGACUCCAGGAACCCUCCGGUACGGCGUGAUCCAAGACGCCCCAUUGUGGAUCGUCUUCUCUGGAAACAUGGUGAUCAAACUCAAACACGAGCUCAUCUUCAACAGCUACAAAACCGUCGACGGCCGAGGAGCCAAUGUCCACAUCACGGGGAACGGAUGCCUGACUUUACAGUACGUGAACCACAUAAUAAUCCACAACAUCCGGAUCUACAACUGCAAGCCGUCGGGGAACACGAACGUGGCCGCAUCGCCGACUCACGUCGGGUACAGGGGGAGAUCGGACGGCGAUGGGGUUUCCCUGUUUGGAGCCCACAACGUGUGGAUCGAUCACUGUACGUUAUCGUCUUGUACCGACGGACUGAUCGAUGUGAUAAUGGGGUCCACGGGGAUCACCAUCUCCAACAAUUACUUCUCCCAUCACAACGAGGUGAUGCUGAUGGGACACGACGACGGUUACGCGCUGGAUACCGGGAUGCAGGUCACCAUUGCGUUCAACAGAUUCGGUGAGGAGCUGGUGCAGCGUUUAUCAAAUCCUUCAUAAAAUUUUGACAUAUCAUAAAACGUACUUAACACCUACAUUAAUAAUUUUAAUUUAUUUUCAACAAAAUAAAUAAAAUAUAUCUAACUUGAUCUCAUUGAACUUGAAAUAUUAAAAUAAAUAACAUUUGUGAAGUGAAAAUUAUAUUUUGAUAAAUCUAUAAAGAAUUAUUAUAAUUAAACUAAGAUUAAGGAGAAUUUAAAAGAUGAGAGAUAAUAUUACAAAAAAUAAAAGAAAAUAAUAAAAAGUGACUUUCCCUCCAAUCGUGUUCACUUUUCUCUCAACAAUUGUUUUCGGGGUUUUUUAUGAUUAAAAAGCACAUAAUUUAUAUCAAUUAUAUCACCCAUUAGAUUAUUUGUGUGGGAGAUCCGAUGAUGCACAAUCUAUUCGCGCUGGCGGAUAAAAAUACAUAUCCAUGGUUUUAGGUUUAAAAAAAUUGAAGCGAAGCACCACCCCAAUGUUCCUCUUCUUCCUAUAUUUUCUCUAAAUAAAACCCUCAUCAAACCGAGUCAACGGGACAAUCUUGCUCAACCGCCAAACCGUCAUCAGAAAACUCACCGAUCGACAGUCAAACUGGUCCGUCCGACCGUUUCAGUCCGAUUUUCAUAACAUCGCUUAAAACCCGGAAAAAAAACCCUAUCUCACAAAGGGAAGCGAAGCACCACCCCAACCCAAUCUUUAAAAACCAAAUUUCCGCCGUCCUGUCCUAUUUGUCAUUUUAUUUUUGUAAGCCACUUGCUCACUCUUUAUUUAUAAUAUAUACAGACUCCACCAUCACAUUUCCACCAAACAUUGCUACAUUUCCUUCUCCCAGAUUUGUUGUCAUCAUCUACAUCAAUAACAAUAACUAAUAACUGCACUUUCCUACAGCAAGACAUCCCCUCCACCCUCCCUUUUCCUCCCUCUCCUCUGGCCACUUCCAUUCAUUUUCACAGUACAGAGAAGCAAGCAGCAGCAGCGCGCAGAGCCUUGGAAAUAAUAGAGGGGAGUAGGAAAAACAACCAAACCUCCCCCCUCUCAAACAUUUCCAUGGCUGCUGCUUCAAUCAUGCUCCCUAUUACCGUCUGCAUUCUCUUCAUCUUUUCG